GACCUCCUCAUGUUUUUUCCAGAAGUCUCCAUCUUGAGGCAAUAUAGAGAACGAUCUCUAUCAAAAUCGAAAUUCCAGACGUCUCCAUAUGAGGCAACCGACCUCCUCAUGUUUUUUCCAAAAGUCUCCAUCUUGAGGCAAUAUAGAGAACGAUCUCUAUCAAAAUCGAAAUUUUCAGUUCUAUCCAUAGAAACCGACAUCAGUCCUUGCACUGUUUGACAUCCUUCAUCAACGGCAAUCUCCAUAGUGACUGGUUGUGUUAGUAUUGCAAUCAGAAGCCUCUAUCGACAUCGAUCUAGAAGUCUCUACCUACACCGACAGAAUCCUCUACCCAUACCGUCUCUCCAGCCGCUUCUCUGUUCGUCCUUCUUGCUCUCGGACUCGCCACCAUUACAACCGACCUCGGCGGGGGAAUUGAAAUCAAGAACAAGAUGGCAGCUGAGAAUGCCAAGAGAGGGAUAGACUAUAAAGAGGUUCUCGGAACAAUCCACAGGUGACCGGGUUGAACAAGGAGAAUCUAAAUGUAUUCGUGUCAAAUCAAAGAGAUUGAAAACAAUGUUUCAUCCAGAAAUUGCUGGAGGAUCUAAUGAAUGUUAGAAUGAAAUGCAAUCAGGAGAUGGUAAUCAAAAUGUCACUCAAGGUGUUCCCAGUGUGUUGCGCCGGGUGGUUCCGAUACUUCUAUGUGUUUACUCCAGAGAAGGAGAACCUGCUUCUUUGAUCCGCACAAAAAGAAGAGUGAGAGGGGUAGAGAGAAAGAGUGAUAGAACAAUUGUACCCACCAAGAGGAAGAAAGAAGAAGAAUGAACUGUGUUCAAGGAGAUUCAAAGUUGUAUGAUCGAGCUCACCGCUAAACUGAAGCAGGUUUUCUUUUACCCACUUUUCAGAGUCCAAUGGCUGCUAACAACGUUCUAAUGGGUUUGGAUAAGGAACAGCUAGCUUCUACAAUUAUUUGGGUUAAUCCUUUCUUCUCAAUCUACUGUGGAAUGAGGGGUUGAUAAGAAAUCAAGCAGUGUUGCUUCGGAGCCAAACUCAAAGAGUUUUGAGUGUGUGACCAAGGGCUUCAAAUGACCGUUCUGAUGAUGAAGGAGGGACUGACAAGAGGAAUGGUGUUAAGGCAAGGAACAAGUACCGUCCCCCGAUGUUGCUGAAGGACAUCAAUUUAAAAAUGCUUCUUUGCUGGCAGACUUGGCUGGUGCAAGGGUUAUUACUGUUAGAUGAUCUUGAUUCGACAACCCUUGGAAAUGCAAUUGAAGAGAUGUUAGGGGAUGAGAGUAAAAUGGAAGAUAUGUUCUAGAGGGGCUCUGAGAGCUGCAAACUCCAAUACCUCUGUACAGAUUGCACAACACGUCAUUUCUCUAACCCGCUUAUAAUGAGGAAAGAAGUAGACUUAAAGUUGGUUUAUACGCUAUGUAGUAAGUCAUAGAUCCAGCUUCCAUCUUUUUGGAGCCUGAGGACUAUCGCGAGUGGGUAGAGUGAAGGUACCUCCAAGUGGAAGGACACUGCAAUCAGAGACCAAGCUUCAGUGCUAUGAACCUGUAACGAUAAAAUACUUGGGAUAUUAUCCUGCAUUGACACCUGAUGUGGUUGGUUUUUUCUUUUUUUGUGUACAUUUGGCUUGGGGUUGUGGAUUGGUGUAGUGAACAUGUAGUAAGCUGUUAUGGAGUCAUUGCUAACUUCUAAAUGGAUGGGUUCAUUUGAUAAUGAUGUUAAGGUCAAGGAGGGGGUAGCACGAGAAAGCAAGGCACAGAAAACAUGGGCAAAGAGUAGCUUCAAGCAAAGAAACCUGUUUCUUCGGAUUAUUCUCAAGUAUAUAAUAGAACACCAAGACCUUAUAUGUGAGAGUUCAAUUAGAAAUAAAUCAAUUAAUAAUUGUUAUACGACUAGAAUGCAGUUAUAUCACCCGCAGCAAAGCGCGGGCUCUCUAACUAGUCAAAUACUACUAGCUAGAGCUAGGGCACUCUUAGGGAUGAGCAUGGCCCAUGAGGAAAACACAGGGAUAACUCGGGCUUGGAAAACGGUGAGAUCAUAAUACAAUUCACCGUAAUAAAGUUCAAUUCUUUAUUGCAAAUAGAUUUUAGGUAAAAAUAAUAUUUGGAAUGGAGAAACUCAUGGAUCAGAUUUUUUUUUUUUUUUUUUUUACAUAUUUUAAUAAGAGGAUCAAAUGAUUUCACUCCUACUCCCAUGGUGACUCGAACCCAUGACCUCGAUCUUAGAUAAUGAUGAGUGCUCUAACCACUGAGCUAAUGCAUGGCGAAAAGGAGCAUUGGAAUGGUCUUAGCUCUUAAAUAGUCAUCAAUCCAAAAUUUGGAAUGGUCUUAGCUCUUGAAUUCCAUUAUUGAAUUUCCUUUACUUGAUUGAACAACCCAAAAUUCAGUUAUUUCAACUACAUCAAGUGAUCUGUCAAAUAUGUCAAGACUCUCCAGUUUAUGGCCGCUUCUCUAUGGAGCCAAGGACGCUG